UACGUAGGGGGCUAGCGUUGUCCGGAAUUAUUGGGCGUAAAGCGCGUGUAGGCGGCCCGGUAAGUCCGCUGUGAAAGUCGGGGGCUCAACCCUCGAAUGCCGGUGGAUACUGUCGGGCUAGAGUGCGGAAGAGGCGAGUGGAAUUCCUGGUGUAGCGGUGAAAUGCGCAGAUAUCAGGAGGAACACCAAUUGCGAAGGCAGCUCGCUGGGACGUAACUGACGCUGAGACGCGAAAGCGUGGGGAGCAAACAGG
rnacentral:rRNA from 1 species